CGAGAGGCUUCCACAAUGGGGGAAACCCUGAUGGAGCGACGCCGCGUGGGUGAUGAAGGUCUUCGGAGCGUAAAACCCUUUCAGUAUGGAAGAAUGCGCCUGAUGUAAACAGCAUCGGGCGAAAGACGGUACAUACAGAAGAAGCUCCGGCUAACUCCGUGCCAGCAGCCGCGGUAAGACGGGGGGAGCAAGCGUUGUUCGGAUUUACUGGGCGUAAAGGGCGUCUAGGCGGGCUAGCAAGUCAGAUGUGAAAUCCCUCGGCUCAACCGAGGAGCUGCAUUUGAAACUGCCAGUCUUGAGUACGGAAGAGGAAAGCGGAAUUCCUGGUGUAGCGGUGAAAUGCGUAGAUAUCAGGAAGAACACCGGUGGCGAAGGCGGCUUUCUGGUCCGAUACUGACGCUGAAGCGCGAAAGUGUGGGGAGCGAAC
rnacentral:rRNA from 1 species